rnacentral:tRNA from 1 species
GACAACGUGGCCGAGCGGUUAAGGCGAUAGACUAGAAAUCUAUUACUCUCUGAGUGCGCAGGUCAAGUCCUGCCGUUGUCG